GCGGCCGUGGCGAAAAGGCAUACGCACGGGCUUUAGGUGCCCGCGGGAGUGAUCCCAUGUGGGUUCGAAUCCCACCGGCCGCA
rnacentral:tRNA from 2 species